GCUGAGCGUGGUGGUAUUUUCCUAUAGUCCCAGCUACUGAGGAGGCUGAAGUGGGAAGAUCGCCUGAGCCUAGGAGAUCGAGGCUACAGUGAGCCAUGAUCGUGCCACCGCACUUCAGCCUGGGUGACAGAGUGAGACCCUGUCUCAAAAGUAAAAGUAGCUGGGAGUGGGGGACCACCAGGUUGUCUAAGGAGGGGUGAACCGGUCCAGGUUGGAAACCAAGCAGAUCAAAACUCCCACGCUGAUCAGUAGUGGGACUGUAGCUUUGAAUAGCCACUGCACUCCAGCCUGAGCAACAUAGCGAGACUCCAUUUCUU
rfam:Nomascus leucogenys chromosome 18, whole genome shotgun sequence.